AGGCGCCCGCCACGACGCCCAGCUGUUUUGUAUUUUUAGUAGAGACGGGGUUUCACCAUGUUGGCCAGGACGGUCUGGAUCUGCAUGCGGGCCACACAGAAGCCCGCCGCCGAGGGGUUUCGGAGGUGGAUACUCUCGUCAGCCGGUUGCUACCGUAGGCGAAGUACAGAAAAAUGUCCUCAUCCGGGCCCGGGACGUCCCUGCAGCCCAAGUUCGCCAUGUCCCACUGCUGCCUGCACGGGAGCCUGGAGCAGAGCUGUGAGGAGCCGCCAGAGAGCGCAGCGCGGCGGCCCAGGACCCCGGCCCAGUGACUGCCUCGCCGCCGCCUCCAGGAAGUUGCACUUUUACCUCAUCCCUCAACAGUUCAGAUCCUCUCACCAGGGGCAACCCCUAUUUUUGGAUUCUUGUGCUAGGAUAUGUUAUCAAAUUUUUUUAAAAAGGGAAGGAACAUCUGACUCUUGGCUCCCACUAAGAUGCUGCCAGAGCGGCUGGUCUCAAAGGGCAAAACAACAGCCCCUGAUGGAAAGUCUUCACGACGCAGCCUCCGAGGUCCUUCCGCUCAAGGAGCAUUUCUCAAGGAUGGAUCAUAACUGACUAUUGUGUGUCUCAAGGUUGGCUCCAAACCAGCAGAAGCUGAAUAAAGAACUGUGAACUUGGAAUGACUGUGGGACGCUAGGCUCUUACUGGUCCUAACUGAAGACUUUUUCCCAACAGCGAGCAAUGGGGCUUCUUUUAACCAACUCUAUUUACAACCUUAGAUUCAUUCCGUUCUUUGCAAAGUACUGGAUUUCAACACUUAAUUAGCAAUAACCACAUGAACCUACCCUGGCAAGCCCUUUAACAACUCUGAAUUUUCCCUCUCAGUGAGCUACUACUUAAUUCAGUAAAUUUCUCCCUAUCCUGUAUUCCUGUGGCUAGCAAGUCAAUAGACUCAGCUUUUAUUUUAUUUUGAGUUGGAGUCUCGCUCUGUCAUUCAGGCUAGAGUGCAGUAGCUUCAUUUUGGCUCACUGCAACCUCUGCCUCCCGGGUUCAAGCGAUUCUCUUGCCUCAGCCUCCUGGGUAGCUGGGACUACAGGCAUGUGCCACCAUGCCCAGCUAAUUUCUGCAUUUCUAGUGGAGAUGGGGUUUCACCAUGUUGGCCAGGCUGGUCUUGAACUCCUCACCUCAAGUGAUCCACCGGCCUCGGCCUCCCAAAGUGCUGGGAUUACAGGCAUGAGCCAGUGCUCCUGACCUCAACUUUUAAUUUUUAUCUAUCGAUCUAGUCUAUUAUUACCCGCUACUUACCUACCCAUCCAUCCAUUCAUCCAUCCAUCCAUCUGCCCAUCCUUUUUUUUGUUUAUUAGCUCUGGUCUUUGUUAUAUUUGUUGAUAGGCCCAAGUAAAUUAGUAUGUGUAAAACUCACUUAAAACAGUGCUUAGCACAUGGUAAGCAUAAUAUGUGAUAGCCCUUAUGAUCUAGUAACUCACCAGUAUCUUGUGUGUAUUAGAACAAUGUGUCUCUGUAAUAUUUUAAUUAUAUCUCUAUAAGAGCAUACAUAAAUGACAAUAUAUAAAUCUCAAUAACAGAAUGUUUCUAACCCAA
rnacentral:lncRNA from 1 species